rnacentral:rRNA from 1 species
AGAGUUUGAUCCUGGCUCAGGAUGAACGCUGGCGGCGUGCUUAACACAUGCAAGUCGAGUGAAGCGGCUGAAUUGAUUCUUCGGAUGAUUUUCAGUUGACUGAGCGGCGGACGGGUGAGUAACGCGUGGGUGACCUGCCCCAUACCGGGGGAUAACAGCUGGAAACGGCUGCUAAUACCGCAUAAGCGCACAGAGCUGCAUGGCCCGGUGUGAAAAACUCCGGUGGUAUGGGAUGGGCCCGCGUCUGAUUAGGCAGUUGGCGGGGUAACGGCCCACCAAACCGACGAUCAGUAGCCGGCCUGAGAGGGCGACCGGCCACAUUGGGACUGAGACACGGCCCAAACUCCUACGGGAGGCAGCAGUGGGGAAUAUUGCACAAUGGGGGAAACCCUGAUGCAGCGACGCCGCGUGAGCGAAGAAGUAUUUCGGUAUGUAAAGCUCUAUCAGCAGGGAAGAUAAUGACGGUACCUGACUAAGAAGCCCCGGCUAACAACGUGCCAGCAGCCGCGGUAAUACGUAGGGGGCAAGCGUUAUCCGGAUUUACUGGGUGUAAAGGGAGCGUAGACGGCAAGGCAAGUCUGAUGUGAAAACCCAGGGCUUAACCCUGGGACUGCAUUGGAAACUGUCUGGCUCGAGUGCCGGAGAGGUAAGCGGAAUUCCUAGUGUAGCGGUGAAAUGCGUAGAUAUUAGGAAGAACACCAGUGGCGAAGGCGGCUUACUGGACGGUAACUGACGUUGAGGCUCGAAAGCGUGGGGAGCAAACAGGAUUAGAUACCCUGGUAGUCCGCACGGUAAACGAUGGAUGCCCGCUGUUGGUCUGAACAGGUCAGCGGCCAAGCGAAAGCAUUAAGCAUCCCACCUGGGGAGUACGCCGGCAACGGUGAAACUCAAAGGAAUUGACGGGGGCCCGCACAAGCGGAGGAACAUGUGGUUUAAUUCGAUGAUACGCGAGGAACCUUACCCGGGCUUGAAUUGCAGAGGAAGGAUUUGGAGACAAUGACGCCCUUCGGGGUCUCUGUGAAGGUGCUGCAUGGUUGUCGUCAGCUCGUGCCGUGAGGUGUCGGCUUAAGUGCCAUAACGAGCGCAACCCCUCUCCUUAGUUGCCAUCAGGUUAAGCUGGGCACUCUGGGGACACUGCCACCGUAAGGUGUGAGGAAGGUGGGGAUGACGUCAAAUCAGCACGGCCCUUACGUCCGGGGCUACACACGUGUUACGAUGGCAGGUACAGAGAGACGGUUGUACGUAAGUACGAUCAAAUCCUUAAAGCCUGUCUCAGUUCGGACUGGGGGCUGCAACCCGACCCCACGAAGCUGGAUUCGCUAGUAAUCGCACAUCAGCCAUGGCGCGGUGAAUACGUUCCCGGGCCUUGUACACACCGCCCGUCAAGCCAUGAAAGCCGGGGGCGCCUAAAGUCCGUGACCGUAAGGAGCGGCCUAGGGCGAAACUGGUAAUUGGGGCUAAGUCGUAACAAGGUA